rnacentral:rRNA from 1 species
CCUACGGGAGGCAGCAGUGAGGAAUAUUGGUCAAUGGACGAGAGUCUGAACCAGCCAAGUAGCGUGAAGGAUGACUGCCCUAUGGGUUGUAAACUUCUUUUAUAAAGGAAUAAAACGAGGCACGUGUGCCUUUUUGCAUGUACUUUAUGAAUAAGGAUCGGCUAACUCCGUGCCAGCAGCCGCGGUAAUACGGAGGAUCCGAGCGUUAUCCGGAUUUAUUGGGUUUAAAGGGAGCGUAGAUGGGUUGUUAAGUCAGUUGUGAAAGUUUGCGGCUCAACCGUAAAAUUGCAAUUGAUACUGGCAGUCGUGAGUACAGUAGAGGUAGGCGGAAUUCGUGGUGUAGCGGUGAAAUGCUUAGAUAUCACGAAGAACCCCGAUUGCGAAGGCAGCUUACUAAACUGUAACUGACAUUGAUGCUCGAAAGUGUGGGUAUCAAACAGGAUUAGAUACCCCUGUAGUC